rnacentral:lncRNA from 1 species
UCCUUGGUCGGUCGAGUUGGGAUAUAAGAUAACAAAACACAUUGAUAUGUAUGUAUGUAUUCUCUUUUUUUUUUUAAUUUUAAAUACAAUGAAAUGAUGGAUGCUUGUGUAUGUUCUCCGCUUCCCUGAUCAAACUAAGCACAUGACAAAAAUCAACAGUAGGUAACAAUGCCAUUCCAAAUUUUAGCUUGAAUUCACUCAUGCAUUAAAUAUAGGUCAUGGUGGACAAAUUAUAAAUAUUACAAAAAAAAUACUGUCAACAUAGAUUUAUCCAGAGCAGACCAAGAUGAUGUAUUUUUAUACAGAUUUUUUUUUAUCUUGACAAUAAGAUAAUUUGUGACAAUCUAAUUAUAACAAAUAACUUUUUUUCAAAGUGACAACUUUCAUUGUUUCAAACAUGUUAUAAAAUGAUAUUAAUAUAUAUGAAAAUUAUGAUUUAUGCAUAAAACUUUUGAUGAUGGCAUGGUUGCACAUUACUUGUGUAAUUAUUUUAUAGAUUUUGUUCUCAACUAUUAAAGGAUCUAAAUUGGAGGUCAUUUAUUCAUAAAUUCCUGUUUAAGGUAAUUUUUCUGUAUUCUGUAUAUUUUAGAACCCCAUUAUUCUUUUUUUUUCUUUUUUCCCCCUAUUUUCUAUUUUGCUGACCCAUUUUUCUGUAGUAUUUACCCAUUAUUCUAUAUCCCCCCUCCACCCCCUAUUUUCUCUUUUUAGUUAUUUUGUUGGCACUUUUUUCUAAAGUUUUAGCCUUAUACUCCCUAUUCUUAAAACCAAGUACCUCCCUUAAUCAAUUGACUGAGGGGAGGUAACUCCUUAAAGAUUUUUACAAACUAAAACACAGAGGUAAAAUUCACAACUUUUCAAAGUUAAAUAGGACCACAAUAACUUUUUUUUUUAAAUCUAAUUGAAAUUAAGUUUAAAUAAACUUAUAAUGACACAUCAAAAAUUCUAGUUAACAUUAACACUUGGAAAAUAAUAAAGGGAAACGGUUUAUUCAACAUAUAAACAAAUACACCUUGAAUAACAUAUAAAAGGACAUAACAUAAAUAAAUGUUUCUCAUCCUCAGAGAUAUUUUACCACCACUGCUCUUUUAAGAGAAAAUACUGCUCCAUUAAACUACUACUUGAUAUACUUGAAAAUUUAUACUAAACUAUUCAAAUUGUCAAUGAGAGAUAAAUUCAACGUUUCUGAGGAUCUUUUUCAUGCUUUGAACAAAAUUUACACCAAUGAAAGACAUAUUUACAAGAUUUUGAAAUUGAAAAAUCAGCUUUAAAAUCAUUAAAUCUUUUUGGAAAUUGAUCAUAAAUUAUUAUUUCUAAAAUCUGAUAAACAGAUUUGUCAGUGAUGUCUUAAGGUGCGCUUUCAGGAGUUGAUUUCUUAUCUGACUUCAUAACGUCCCACAGGAAUAUCUUAGUAUUACAUUGUAUGUACACAAAAUAUGAUUUUCCGUUAGAUUACCCAAAUGACAUCUGAUUUGAAGAGUUCACAUGGGGAAAUUUUAGUUGAAAGCAGGUGCACAUGUAUAAAUUGAAACAAAAUCAUACCGUGUAGACAAACAAUUACUUGAACAAAAAUUAAAUAAGUCAAUUUUGAGAUCUUAAAAUAUUUUUGGUAGAAUGUAGAAAAUAUAAUAACAUAAAGUACUUUAACUUUAUAAACUGGCAACUAUCACAACAAAUACAUAUAUAGAAAAUUUAGCACUAUAAAUAUUGUUUUUUAAGACAGUCCCCAACAUUUGGUUGAAUUGGAAAAGUUUAUUUUCAUCAAAUGAAAGACAAUAUUUUAAUAUAUCUUGUAAUGAAAAGUUUGUUUGAAAUGAUAAAUAAAACAUCCUUUAAUUUCAUGCUCUCCUUUGAACAAACAUAUAAACUCAUGUAGAACAAGAUGUCAGAAUUUUUUUUAGAAUACAUGUAUUUUUAACAGUCCUGUCAUAUUUUUUCUGUCCUUGUUAUCUAUUCAACAAUUAUGACCUAAUAAGGUCAACGAAUAAUACAACACCAUGUAAUAUAAUUAUUCCCAAGUACACAGCUACUUUUGCAUAGGUACUAUUUCUGUACUAAAAAUAUGUAGUACUGGAAAUCUACUUUUAAUAUUCAGUACUAUUUGUUACUUUAAAAUUAUUGAAUAUUUAGGUACCUGUAUUUUACAGUACUUGAUUUGUACUUGAAAUUUAGGUGCUACAGAUUUUGGGUUACUAUAGUUACAUUUUCAGCUAAAGUAAAGAGAUAGUACUAAAUAUUAAAAGUAAAUUUCCAGUACUACAUAUUUUAGUACAGAAAUAGUACCUAUGCAAAAGUAGCUAAGUAUCUACAAUCAUAACAAAAUUUAAAAUGAGGCCUUAAUAAAAGUAUUCUUGAUUCUCAACUCUUCCAAGUUAACAAUUAAAAAAAAAAAAAAAAUGCUGCCACUAUUAUGCAUAAAUUUUAAUAUUUCCUGGUCUCAAAAAAGGUAAUGUCUAUGUAUUACAGUGGAUUCAUUUAUUUUCGUGGUUACCAAUUUUUGUGGAUGACUUGUUCGUGGAUAUUUAAUUUGCUGGUUUUGCCAAAGUCUGCAUAGUUUGAAUCGUGAAAGCCACUUCUGACAACACAAUAACUAAUAAACUGUAAUAUAUAUUUCAUGGUCAACUACGUAAGCAAGCGUAUUUAACUUUGUUGUUCUUUGUUCACAUUUAGAUAGAUCUUAUGUAACUUGCUUAAAUCUUGAGAUGUAUAGGAAAUAAAGGCAUAAAGUAAAUGAUGGCCUUGAUGAGUAAGAAUCUCAGUUAGAUCUGCUGUAAUCUUGAGAUGUAUGAAACAAUUUAAGGCAUGCAGUAAAUGAUGGACUUGAUGUGUGAGAAUCUAAGAAUAUUUCUAUUUAUAGCAUUUAAAGGCAAACUGUAAAUUGAGAUAUUAUUGAUUUUACAGUAACAUAUUGAGACACACCAGUAGUAUCAGAAUAAAUAAAUUUAAAUUAAAUCACAGUUUUUGUUGGCACAUUAUAACCUGAUUAAGUAGAGACACUUCCAGACAAUUCACAAAAUAAUGAUUUUCUUCUUCCAAAACAGAAGUUAAACCUAAGUUAUUUCCCCUUUGUAAAGAUUUUUUUUCAAUUGUCUUAGAAAACAAUUUCAAGCUUUAUCCAAAACUAAAUUUCUGAGAUAGAAUAAUUCUUUCUAGAUCUAUUAUAAUAUUUUCAUAAUAAAAUAGAUUAUAAAUUAUCACCCUCAAAAUUUUGUUCUCCUUUCGACAAUUUAGCGAGUUAUUUUUCAAAAUAUAAUUUCUCUAAACAA